rnacentral:rRNA from 1 species
UACGUAGGGUGCGAGCGUUGUCCGGAAUUAUUGGGCGUAAAGAGCUUGUAGGCGGUUUGUCGCGUCUGCUGUGAAAAUCCGGGGCUCAACCCCGGACUUGCAGUGGGUACGGGCAGACUAGAGCGUGGUAGGGGAGACUGGAAUUCCUGGUGUAGCGGUGAAAUGCGCAGAUAUCAGGAGGAACACCGAUGGCGAAGGCAGGUCUCUGGGCCACUACUGACGCUGAGAAGCGAAAGCAUGGGGAGCGAACAGG